CCAAAUUUCCUCUAAUUUUUUUAUAUAAAUUGUAUAGUGUAUUAUUUAAUAAAUAAAAAUUAUAAUAAUUAUUAUUAUAAUAUUAUUAUUAUAAAGAAAUUGAAACACUUAAACAUUCCUCCAUUCAUCAGUAUAGCGAAUAGGGUUUAUUCCCCAUUCUCAAAUCUCAACGUUAGCUCUCCAAAACCCUAAACUCUCAUCAUUUGAUGACAGCCUAAUCUAGUGUUUCAUUGAAAUUUGUUCUUGAUUUCUUCGUUCAAAGUCACAAUUAUGUCGGCAACUGUUCUUCAUUACUUCUCUAGGGUUCACGACUAUUCAAUUUUGGUGUGUUGUUUUGGGUAAGUUUUGUAUUUUUGUUCUUGAUUGUUGUCAUCCGUGUGAUUGAGUGGGGAUUUUGUGAUUCAACAAGACCCAUAUCACAUUCACUUCGACCUCGCAUUGAGAUGUGAAUGAGCUUUCCCUAUUUCAAUUCAAGGAGAUUCCAAGAGUAUUAGCUUGAAAUUCGAACUCAACCAAAGCUAUCCGGAAACAAGAUCAUGCUGACUAUUUUACUAGGUGACUUCUCUUAUGCCAUUAGAAAUAGGUGAAAACUGCAUUACCAGUACCUUUUUGGAUUCAAAAACUUGCAUCACUCUUAGCUUGGUACCACUUCUCUCUGGUAAGAAACACUGCUAAAUCUCUUUAGGCUUAAUUUUCUCUGCUCUGUAUGUUUCAUAGUACUACUACUACAAGCAUUUAUUUAAUAUAUGUAUAAUAGGUAGGUGGAAUACUUAGAACUAAUAUUGCCAAUGCCGAUAUAUGUAUGUGAUAUAAUAGAUAGAACAA